rnacentral:tRNA from 1 species
GGGGGCGUAGCUCAUCAGGAUAGAGCGUGAGAUUCCUAAUCUCAAGGUAACAGGUUCGAGUCCUGUCGUCCUCACCA